rnacentral:rRNA from 1 species
UUUUAUGGAGAGUUUGAUCCUGGCUCAGGAUGAACGCUGGCGGCGUGCCUAAUACAUGCAAGUCGAGCGAACGGACGAGAAGCUUGCUUCUCUGAUGUUAGCGGCGGACGGGUGAGUAACACGUGGAUAACCUACCUAUAAGACUGGGAUAACUUCUGGAAACCGGAGCUAAUACCGGAUAAUAUUUUGAACCGCAUGGUUCAAAAGUGAAAGACGGUCUUGCUGUCACUUAUAGAU